UAGGGAAUCUUCCUCAAUGGGCGAAAGCCGGACGGAGCAACGCCGCGUGAGUGAUGAAGGUCUUCGGAUCGUAAAACUCUGUUAUUAGGGAAGCACAAAUGUGUAAGUAACUAUGCACGUCUUGACGGUACCUAAUCAGAAAGCCACGGCUAACUACGUGCCAGCAGCCGCGGUAAUACGUAGGUGGCAAGCGUUAUCCGGAAUUAUUGGGCGUAAAGCGCGCGUAGGCGGUUUUUUAAGUCUGAUGUGAAAGCCCACGGCUCAACCGUGGAGGGGCAUUGGAGACUGGAAAACUUGAGUGCAGUAGAGGAAAGUGGAAGUCCAUGUGUAGCGGUGAAAUGCGCAGAGAUAUGGAGGAUCUCCAGUGGCGAAGGCGACUUUCUGGUCUGUAACUGACGCUGAUGUGCGAAAGCGUGGGGAUCAAACAGG
rnacentral:rRNA from 1 species